AAGGUCAGCAAAUCCGUGUCAGAUGAUAGCACAGAUUCCUCAGCUACAAAACGCAAGGGCCGAGCAGAACAAAGAGAUUUGCAUUCUAAGUGAUGCAAAGCAGCCAGCAGCGUUUUAAUGUUGUGUUUGCUCUGUGAUGUCUUCAUCAGGCGCUCAAAGGCAGCGGCUCUGGCAGCCGUGGGUCCCUGUGAGCCUGUCAAACUCCGUUUCCAUGGUUUUCCUUCAGGCAGCACCAUCGGCAGACAGCACGGAAACGGACCCCUGCAACCUGUUUUGAACAGUGUCUCUGAUGUAGGGCCCCAGAGCGGGCAUCAAACUAGCAACAAGCAGCAAGAAAAUAACAAUUUUGCUUUUCGCAGGUGUCAGAACGGCAAACAAAAGGCUGUUUGUAAAAGAUGCAACGUCCCCUUUUUGUCGGUGUUGGCAGUUUAAAGUCAGCCGGGCAGCCGUUAAGGAGGAGAUUUUGGAUGGGGUGUGCUGUGAGAAGGAGCUCGUCUUGAGGAAUUCCAAUUGUUACCUCUUGUAUCCUUUAGCCUCACUGAACAGGGCCUUCUCAUCACUGAGCUAAUAGCUAUUAAUGCUGUUUCAAUUAUUCCGUGUGUGAAUGACCAAGGCUAUUUUUUUUCAAACAAUUCUAUAUAUACAUAUUUCCAGACAAAAAAAGCAUAAGAGUCUCAUUCUUCCUUACCUUGAAAAACACUCUUCCAUUUAAACAAACAAUUCAGAACAUGUUAAGCAUUUGAAGCGUUAUUUCACACUGAUAGAGAACAGUUUGCUACUGGCAAGAAUGGACAUUCAGUGCCACAGGGCUCGCAGCUCGUGAGCUGUGCAUGGUUACCUGGGAGCUUGCAGCACAAGACCUUCACACUCUCCUGGGGGCACAGCUCCUUCCAUCACACAUCCACCUGCUGGAGCUCAGCGGGCUGUACGGAUGGCAGCCCAGGAUUCCUGGUUCCUCUGAAUCUCUGUGUUUGCAGCUCCUGUUCAGAGUUCUAUUAAGAAUACAGAACAGUGUAAUUCCAGCUCCUGAUUUCAUGGUGCCCACUACCUCAGAAACAUAAUCUUGUUCUUUUUAAUGGAAAAUAUCGAAAUGCUUGUGGUUGUGUUGCAAAUAAGGGUGGAAACAAAUUACAUGGAAAAAAAAAAAAAAAAAGAUGUGCCAAGGCUCAUGCAAAGUAGAGACACAUUUUUCUGUGCAGCUCUCAAACCAAAGCAAUGUAGUUCAUGGUCUGACUAAAGUUAUCCGAAGUACAUUCAAUAAAUGAUGUUUCUGUCCUCAGAGAACUCAGUGGAUGUUUUGUCACCUCCUACAUUUUUCAAAUACAUUUAAUACUUUACUCAUAAUUAAGGGGCUGGUUAAUAUUGUACUGUAUCUGCAUAUGGAGCAGACUGAAGUUGCUAGGUGUGCUUGGAGGAACAGUGCUGAGGAGCAGAUAUAGGUGAUGUAGCACUACAACUGAAAUCCUACCCUCAUCAUCUGUUUAAAGGAAUACUCACAGUAUCUAAAGAGAAAAUAGGCUUGUAACUGAGAAGGCUUUCAAAGUGAUUAUGAUAUACUGAUUAUUAUUAUUUUGGAGCUCUGAUCUGCUAAAUAUGCAUUUUUAAAAUGAACACUGUUUGCAUCUACAACACUGAUCACAUGAGAACAAGUCCAGGUACAUCCAUACUGACACUACAGGCAAGGUACUAACAGAUACCAGUGUUGCUCACCUUGGCAUAUAUGCUUCCCAUGUCCCAAAAAUAGCUAAAUUGUUUUCCAUCGAUAGAAACAACACAUUCAUUCUAAAUGUAUUACUGUACAGCACAGAAUUUGCUCUGACUUACUCAAGAGCCAGCUGUACAGCAGAACGAACAUUCAAUGAAAUGAACAGUGGCUGGCAUGAAGGGAAGGGGUGAACAAGCCACAGACUCUAGCAGAGAUUUCUUUUGAUCAGAGCAACUGUUUAUGACUUUUGUUCAGUGACUCAAAAUGAAAAAAAAUAUGUCGUGUCACAGUAGAGACAGAAGCUGGCAGCUGUAGUAUGCCUGGACUAUUUUUUAAUGAAUAUUGUUGUUUGCAGGGUACUAGGUGAUCACACAAAACAUGGCUUUGUAUUGUUUCUCAGUUAGCUGUAAGUGGUGUGGGUUAAAGCAAACAGGAAAAGCAGAACCUACUUCACUGAAGAAUGGUUUGGAACCAUACACUUGUGUAGCAGGGCAAAGGGGACGUGUCUGGGGAAUCACUGGAGGGGACUGGGAGCAGCUGCUUUAAAAUUCCAGGCUUUAAAAAUAUAUAUAUGCAUCUUUAUGUUAUUUAUGGAUGGGUGCUGGGCUGGAGGGAGGAAAGGAUGCUUAAGCGAUGCUCAACUUAUAUUCUCUCCAUUGUUUAGUGAAUGCUAUUGUAAAAUCAGGAGAUCUACAGAUGUAUUUAUUUUGGAAUAGAAUCACAGAAUCACAGAAUGGCCAGGGUUGGCAAGGAUCAUGAAUCUCCAACCCCCAAUAGGAAUACUUUGUUCUGUUUUGGAUUAAACCUUUCCAGAGCUGCGCUUGCCACUGCAGCAGGCAAGACUUGCAGGCUGCACUGAGCAGUGUGGUGAAGCAGGCUACUGGCAUAAAAGGGAGAAGCCACCAUUGACACCAGUAGGAAGAAACUACAGGGAAGGGAAAAAGCAUCACUGUUCCGUAAUAAGAUAAUGCAGAGUUACCCCAACAGUUGGGCAGGGAGAACUGUGGGCUAGGAAGUGGGUAACACCCUUAAGGCCCAUCACAGAAUUACUAGUGAUUCUGUAGGGUGCAUUCCCAUUCCCACACUUUGAUUUAGCAACACAGCUCUCAUCAUUACCAUCAGUCAUUUUAUGCCAUUCUUACUUUUCAGGCAACUAGAGGAAAGUUUUUUAUAGGAGAAAAACAGCCUGAAGUCUUACUCUGCCAGUAAGCAGGGAUUUAUCAUGUAAGAAGUCUUUCUAGGCUGUCACAUUUAUAUUAUUCUUUGGAGGCCUGGUUGGGAAAGGUGACAAAUAAAAUCAAAAAGGACAAAGAAGUUAGCACAGCACAGUGUGCAAGAGAUACCCUAAGCAGAGCAAGUAGACUGGAUGACACACUUGGGGUGAAACAGAGGCGGUAAAAAGUAAUUUUAUCUCAGCAUUUGCUUUAGCUGACUUCUGAGUCGCCAACAUAUUAAUGGCUCAUCCCCUAGCAACUACAGAGCUUCCAACAUGCAACUAUUCUUUGGUCAUAAAGACAAAAAAUGGUGUUUGCCAGAACAGAGCUACCCCAUUCUGGGUUGCUGACAACAGUCCCAGACUGUCCAUAUGCUGUGCUGCACUCAGAAGUGAACCAACUCCUAUCACAACUUAUAGUGCUUUCAGGGGAGGAGACUCAGCGCUGCAUGCCUUCUUUAGACCUGAAGUGAGACUCUGCUUGUUUUGGAACUUAUUCCCACAAAAAUAACCAGCUUGAAGAGGCACUUUCAGCUUCUUGGGGUAAAAACUUCCCUUUUACUAACAGUCACUGGCUCUGUUCAGUAUUUCACGAGAGGCUCUUCCCUCCCCUGCUUGCAUGCUAGCAUCUUCAAUGGAACAGCUGUGCCACUGCUAAAGGGUGUUAAUCCUGCCCUAACACCUUACUGACAGCUAGGCCCCCAUCUUUUCUGACUUGGGCAACUUCUCUAAAGUUUCCUUCUCAUUUCCUAUCAAAAUGCUACCCACCACAGUCUGACCUGCAGAUGUAGCCACAGCCUAGCACCAUGCACAAUAGCUGCUAAACUGCAGCAGCAAGGUUUGAAAUGUUCUGCCUAUAUCAGUCCUAGCGAUUAUAACCUAGAGAAUAUUCCCUAACAAUGUCAAGGGACAAUAAGCCACAGCUAAUCAAUGAGCACAAUACCUACAGCACACCAGAGCCCAGAAUAGAAACUGCUCCGGCAGGUGGGACAGCUGGCUUGAAUUUUUAUUUAGUGGUUGUGAAAGGCACCGUGGCUUUCAGAGAGACAAGAGCAGCACUGACAGUGACAGAUCCCCCAUUACAUUGUGCCACUGAACAGAAUGAGCCACUUCAGCAGAUACAGUUCAUUUUUCUUAAGAGUUCUGUAAUGGGUUGGAAUUAGUCUAACAUUUCUUUCUUUUCUUUAUAAAUUCCCAUUACCUACCAAUGCUCUGGACUUCCCCUUCGAAGGUCACCUUGACUUUCUGGAGGCCUGGGAAGUUGCUGUGACUCUAGAAAAAUCCAGGGCAAAUUUGCAUGCUGAGCUGACUGCCUGUACAAUCUGUCUUAAAACAGCCAGCACAGCAGUGGGUGCCCUGGUCAGGCUUUCUAUCAUCCCUCACCAAUGCUGGGUGCAAGGCAAUAUUUCCCAGACACAACCUGUUGUGCAAUGGAAGGUCUAUAGGAACACCCUUCCUUUUAUUUCUUAUUCUUUUACUCUCCACUGCUAAACACGAUGCUCAGAUUUAUCCUGCCUGUGUUCAAACACAGCCCUGUGCUGAAGUUCAGAACAAACUGCCUUUUCCUCCAAUGUCAGUGGAAAGAGAUUAAAACCACUGAGCCCACUGAUGGUUUGUGCUACUUCGCAGGGGCUGUGGGUGACCCGAGAAAUCUCAAUCAGUGGUUCCUAAUAGGAGACAAUAAGCAGUUAAUCAACACCAGUAGUGUUGGCCUGCUCCUGGAGUCGCUGUAGCAGAGUGGUGGCCACCAGAAGUUGGCUCUGAGUUGCCCACUACUAAUAGAGCCUAAAUUUCCCACAGAGCCUAAGCGUUUCUGACAGUGGGAAACAUUUAUUAACAAACUGCUGAGCAGAUGAAGAUGGAUACAGGUUUUUUUGUUUGUUUGUUUGGACUUGGAGGUAGGGCCAGAAAAAGGAGACAAAUGGAAUCACAAAAGAAACGUAACAUUUUAUGAAGUGAUCUACUGGUCUUGCUUCUCCAGUACUUAAGGAGGCAGGUGAGUGCAACAGGCUCUGGGUACAGACCUGAGAACCAACAUGUAGGAGCUGCUGCAGGACUUGAACUGACCGUGACAUUUUAAUUCCAGUUUAAGUGGAUUUACCCAAAUGACUAUGAUUAUUAAAUUUGUUAGAUCAGUCAAAACUGGGGCAAUACUAAUAGGCAAUCUGUGCCCAGAAAUCUUUACCUAGCAGUCAGUAUACAAGACUCAAUUGUAAGUAAGUUAUAUCCUAAUUUGAAGACAGAUGUGCAGACUAUUGGGUGCCAGUUAAUUUAAACUUGACUCUCAAAAAUCCUGCAUUAUUCCCCUUCAGAUCCACCUUCUGUGGGGCUGCAAUUCCAAACAUCCUGCUGCUUCUCCAAAGCCAUCAGCGGAUUUCUCCUGGGCCUGAACUGGGCCAAUGACAUUUUCAGAUAGGCUUGGCCAGAUGUAGUCGUUAAAAAAACUAGGCCAAUGCAGUGUGUGCUGUUAAUGAAAGAAACACAGACCCCAGGGGAAAAUAUGAACAUCAGGUUAUUUGUCCACCAGCUGACUCCUUAUCAAUAAGUGCUGUAGCAGAAGGCAGAGUUGUAUUAUGUGUGCUGAGAGGCCACUGUCACAAGCACAGGCACCACACUUGGGAUAAUAACCUAGUCUCAAAAUUAUGGAACCCACAUCAAAGCCAUAGAUGCCUGGCACCCAGUUUUUUUCUUUUUUUUCUUUAGUUCUGCUUUUCACAUUACACACAAAUAACAAACCUAGCUGACUCGCACUGUGCUGAGCCCUGGGAGCUGGAGCUGCCUGGCCAGAAUGGCUGCAGGACCCGGACUCGUGUGAAAGCAGAACUUGCUGGCUGGCUGUGCUUGCCCUGAGUUACUUUGAUUUGAUCACAAGCUACAAAUGAUUCUUUUCCCCUCUCAUAAGAAGGAAGAGUGUAAAAAACUGGCUAAGUAUUUGACCUAACCUAAAAUGAAAGAAGAAUAUACUCAGCCUAGAACUAAAUGUGCUUUGAGAAGUCUGCUUUGUUCGCUCCGACCAAACUGUGUCCAGAACUUGGAGUGAGACAGCUAAGAGAAACCUGACUAUUAUUUAGAGGAUUGGUGGGAUCACAGCAGCCUGAGCCUCUCGGGUCUGAAUUAAUCUCCUUGGUGAAGCAGCCUGCUCACACUCAGCUGCAUGUGCUCACAGGUACAUUUGUGUAGAGCAAUGCCAUCCAGUGGUUGCUCAGCUUCAUCACAAAGCCACUGGCUCCUUCCUCAAGGACAUUCUGUGAGCUGAAAUGUUUCUGCUCCGUUCCCAGCCGAGGCAGGCCUCAGGUACUGAAAGACUGUGAAAGUGAUGGGCUUGGCUGUUUCCAGCUUCUUUGUCCUUUUUCACGUAAAUAUGAGGUAUGUUUUAAAUAGGAGCCACUUGAAAAUGCUGAAAGAUGUUUUGGGGAAAUAAUAUUGUAUGUAUGCAGUCCAAAUAUGCAAAGUUAUGAUCAGUCCUGGAUUUUGGGGUGGGGAGUAGCUACAUGGAGACAUGUGGAGAAUUAUACUGAUUUCUAACAGAAAAAUGCAGUCUUUGAAAGAAACUUUCUUGCUGGCCUAAUACCAGGAGAUACUGAGUUUGCUCACUGGGACAUUUUUGCUUGAGGAUGAUGACUAGAGAUAGAGAUGUAUAUCAGCCUAUGGAGUGAGCUGAGCCUCACUCCAUGAAUCUAACAUUUUAAAGGCCCUGGGCAUUAAAUUGAGGGGCAUUAAAUAUACCUGGUUGCAUCCCUCUCUUGCCUUCUCCCAAAGAGAGAAAUGUUAAAGCCCCACAGGGGCUAAAUUAAGAUGUCAGCAGUUUUUGCCUGUUACACUCCCCAAGUCAGACAUAAUCACAUGGCUCUUCACAAGGACGCUUUAUCAUAUUUAAAUACCAUGGCUGGAGCUAGAGCAACUGUUCAGCUUGCAGAGCAUCACCUGGCCUGCUGGACAUAGCCCAUCCCCAAGGCACUCAGUAACAACUUUCCACAGGCUGCAGAGCUGCACUGCAGAGCCUAGUCUCACUGAGGGGCUGCUCUUUGCAGCCAGGCACUGUACCCCACAGGUCUGACCCUCCUUCAGGCCUCAGCCCCCUCGUGCUCCACCAGGUGCCCAUGUACUGCUGUGUUUCAGAGCAGCGUCACUCCAGCUCUGUAGUACAAAUUCCAAUCAGGCGUGACAAAGCCCACUGGGUGCUGCUGACAACAGGUGUCUCAUUAAACAUCUCUCAACCUUACAGGCAUUCGCAUUGACAAGAACCAAACUCACACUCAAUCACAGCUUAAUCACAGCCAAACUCUAUUAACAAGUCAUACUAAUUACCAACUUCUAACAAUUUCUCAGGUUCAGAGGCAAAAUAUCCUUUCUUUAUAGAUGAAAACAGACUUGUGAUACUCCAGCUCUGGCCAUAAUUAGGUCCUUUUAAACAAAACAAACCAAAAAUAAAAAUCCAGACGGAUCCCUUCGUGAUAAUGGUCCUGAAAAUACAGUUGUACAAUGACAUGUUUUGUUUGUUUUAAUUUUGUAUCUGCUAUGUUGCCCACAAGGGUCCAAUUAGCUUGUUACAGAUGCUUGUACCAGUUUUAUCCACUUGUCUUUUUGUAUUUUUUUAAGAGGGGUAACUUGUAGCACAGAUUGCUGGCCUGCAGGCAUCCAGAGAUCAACAACCAGCUUUCUGUGAUACCAAGCCCCCUGUGAAACAGGCAGUCCUUACUCACAGCAUUCAUAAUGCAAAGGGUAAAAAUGAACAGGGGAGGGAGGGGCUUGCACUGGAUUUUGGAUUAUUGUGAGAUAAUCUGGUGUGUUCGAAAGUGGCCUAAAGAUGGCAAUUCUGCCAUGGCUUGGAAAUUAAAAUGCAGGCUUUAUUUUUAAUAGCAUAAAGCACUGCCUUGCAGUAAAAUACACAGCUCUUAAGUUGUGGCUUUGAGUUGUACGCCAGUAUUUAUUCCUGUCCCCUGUUUUAGCACACGUGUAAUUCUGCGUUAACUGGGAUGCUUUUCUCCAUUGUGUGGCUGUAUUGAGUGCCCAAGUACUAGAGAACUCACUUGUGUAAUCGAUAUGCUCACAAAAGGGUACACAUAAGUAACAGGACGAAUCUGACUUGAACUGCCAGUGGGGGUAUCAAAGUAAGAGCUAAUGUCUCAUCCUUAAGUCAUGCUGCUGCUGGAGAGGAAGAAAAAGCAACAGAUUGAGUUAGAGGCUAACAAGAUUUCCUAACAUUUUCUGAGCAGUGUUGGUUGAGGAAGAAUGCCU